AAUGAACGCUGGCGGUAGGCCUAACACAUGCAAGUCGAACGGCAGCACAGGAGAGCUUGCUCUCUGGGUGGCGAGUGGCGGACGGGUGAGGAAUACAUCGGAAUCUACUCUGUCGUGGGGGAGAACGGAGGGAAACUUACGCUAAUACCGCAUACUACCUACGGGGGAAAGCAGGGGACCUGCGGGCCUUCGGCGAUUGACUGAGCCGAUGUCGGAUUAGCUAGUUGGCGGGGUAAAGGCCCACCAAGGCGACGCACCGUAGCUGGUCUGAGAGGAUGAUCAGCCACACUGGAACUGAGACACGGUCCAGACUCCUACGGGAGGCAGCAGUGGGGAAUAUUGGACAAUGGGCGCAAGCCUGAUCCAGCCAUACCGCGUGGGUGAAGAAGGCCUUCGGGUUGUAAAGCCCUUUUGUUGGGAAAGAAAUCCAGCUGGCUAAUACCCGGUUGGGAUGACGGUACCCAAAGAAUAAGCACCGGCUAACUUCGUGCCAGCCGCCGCAGUAA
rnacentral:rRNA from 1 species